GGCUAUAUCAGGUUGAAACACCUGCUCCUCGUACGAUCACCAAAGUUAAGCAACGUCGACCCUGGUCUGCAGUUAGAUGGGUGACUGCUUGGAAAUACCAGGUGCUGUAAU